AUCAAGACUCCACAUCAAAAAAAAAAAGAAUGUCCAUUAUCUAUACUGGAAAAAUUGAGAUCUGCAUUUUGACGUGAAGUGUGGAAAUGCGGCUCAGGUCCAUUUAGUUUACCUAAAGAGAUGACGAAAUACUGUUUUUUGAAGCAUUCCUGAGUGCAAAGUUCUGCCUGUGUUUGUAAUGAUGGGAACAGUGAGAAUGAGGCUUGGAACAUGGAGCACACUGUGGGCCUGUGGCGGGUGGGACCAGCGACACAUGCAUGCCUGGCUCACAGAGCAGCCUUUGGGUGUUCUUUUCCAGAGGAGCUCUAUGGUGACUUUGAAGACUUGGAAACAGGGUAUGUGCACAAGGGGAAAUCAGGCCCCAUUACUCAGAAUGAAGAUGUAGAGAAAGAAGUUAAGGAAUAAAUUGACCCCAAUGAAGAGGAAAGUGCCAAGAAAAAGCAUUUGGAUAAGAAGAGAAAAUUGAAGGAGAUGUUUGAUGCAGAAUAUGAUGAAGGAGAAAGCACAUAUUUUGAUGAUCUCAAAGGAGAAAUGCAGAAACAAGCAGAGCUGAACUGUGCAGAAUUUGAGGAUCAAGAUGAUGAAGCCAGAGUUCAGUAUGAGGGUUUUUGACCUGGUAUGUACGUCUGCAUUGAGAUUGAAAAUGUUCCCUGCAAAUUUGUGCAGAACUUUGACCCCCAUUACCCCAUUUUCCUGGGUGGCUUGGGCAACAGUGAGGGCAAUGUUUGAUACGUGCAGAUGCAUCUGAAGAAACAUCGCUGGUAUAAGAAAAUCCUCAAGUUCCAAGAUCCAGUCAUAUUUUCUGUAGGGUGGAGGAGCUUUCAGACCAUCCCACUCUGUUAUAUUGAAGACCACAAUGGAAGACAAAGGCUUCUAAAGUACAUGACACAGUACAUGCAUUGCAGAGCAACCUUUUGGGGUAAAAUAUGGUUACAAUAAGUUGCUUGUUGCCAAGAUUAAACCUUACAGUCUGCAUCAUUACAGCUUUGUGCUUUUCCUUUCAUAAAAUUCCACUCCUAAGAUUUUUCUCUUUUCUGGGAGAGGGAAGGUAGUUUGGAGUAUAUAGGUAAAUUUGUAUCCAGAUGUAAAUGUUCAUAUCCAAUAUGUAAACCUAGAAUCUAAAAUUAAUCGUUUGCUAUAUUUCUUUUUUUCCUUUUCCUUUAAGGCCCUGUCACUCCACAGGGAACUGGUUUCUUGGCAGUACAGUCUGUCAGUGGCAUAAUGCCUGAUUUCCGGAUAGCUGCCACAGGAGUUGUCCUUGAUCUGGAUAAAUCCAUAAAAAUUGUGAAGAAAUUAAAGCUAACUGGUUUUCCAUAUAAAAUUUUCAAGAACACUUCAUUUAUUAAGGGAAUGUUUAAUUCUGCCUUGGAAGUGGCCUAAUUUGAAGGUGCUAUGAUUCGAACUGUCAGUGGGAUAAGGGGGCAGAUCAAGAAAGCUCUCCGGGCUCCAGAAGGAGCUUUCCGGGCCAGCUUUGAGGAUAAGCUGCUGAUGAGCGCUAUUGUCUUCAUGCGAACUUGGUAUCCAGUUUCAAUCCCAGCCUCCUAUAACCCAGUAACAUCUUUGUUGAAACCAGUGGGUGAAAAAGACACCUGUUCAGGAAUGCGGACCACAGGUCAACUCAGGCUCGCCCAUGGCAUCAGACUAAAGGCACACAAGGACUCUCUGUAUAAGCCAAUCCUGAGGCAAAAGAAACAUUUUAAUUCACUGCACAUUCCAAAAGCCUUGCUGAAGGCCCUGCCAUUUAAGAACAAGCCCAAGACCCAAGCAAAGGCAGGCAAGGUGCCAAAGGACAGGCGGAGACCAGCCGUCAUACGCGAGCCUCAUGAAAGAAAGAUGCUCACGCUGCUGGAUGCUCUGAGUACCGUGCAUAGUCAGAAGAUGAAGAAGGUCAAGGAGCAGCAGCACCUACACAAUAAAGAGCACUUCAGAGCCAAGCAGAAGGAGGAAGAGGAGAAGCUGAAGUGGCAGAAGGACCUCAGGAAGAAGCUCUUCCGAAUUCAGGGGCAGAAGGAAAGAAGAAACCAGAAGUCUAGUUUGAAGGGGGCUGAGGGGCAACUGCAGUGAGCCUUUGGACUGGGUGGAUCUGCGGAGGUAGACAGUUUCAAACAUCACAGUUGGAAUGCUUAUGAAUGGACAAGUCGGGGCAAGAGCCCAAGAGAUGUCUUUACCCAGGCUAUGCCUGUGAGAGGAGGAACAGAGAAGCCUGGGCUGCUGGGACCCGCGUUCAUUCUCAGCACCUGGGGCUGUCAAGAUUUAAAGUGCUAUAGCUGUGGUUGUGUGGAUUCUCCUACUUCCCUCUGCCUGCCUCAGUUUAGUUAUUUGUACUAUAAAAAUAUCAUUAAAAUUUUUUUUUGUUGUUAGUUGUGA